UUCAACAAUUUAAUAUGCGAACAUUCAAUUUGUGACAAAUCAGUACCUGCCAUUAAUUCACAGUCACUCAGAACCAUGACGUGAGGUGAGGUGCGAUUUAUAUGUUUUCAUAAUGCCAAAAUUAACCUCUAUGAUAAUUUUCAGACCAUUUUACCCUUUUCUCUUCUUUUUUUCCCUUUUCCCCUUUCUCUUCAAUCUAGUUGAAGAAGAUCAAGAGAAGUGGUAAGCGCAGCCCUUCAUUCCGAACACAGUGUUCAUAGGUGGUAAGCGUAGCCUUUGAUUCCGACCUCCACGGUAAUUUUCUGACCUCCUGCUCUUGCUCGCGUAGGUGGUAAGCUUCGAUCAACUCCAACUUGAAGGAACAUAGACGAGAGGAGAGGAGACUGUUCACGCGCAGGUUGAAUGAACGCCAAAGAAGGUGGUCGUCCGUUAGGAGAGAGCGCAAGGUCCAAUUCUGAGAAUUGAUGAGGGUGAGGAGCUUGCCGACUUUUGGUAUGCUCUAGCUAGUGCUCCGCUUCUUAGUGAUGAUCUUGACAAAGUGGCCGGCAAACUCGAUUUUUUUGCCGGUAAAGAUCAGGUUGCAGCGGCAAUUCGUCUUGGGGUUGGUGGGAAGAAGGUGGAUGAAUAUGAUUUGGACUAUGAGAUUUUCCAGAAGGCGCUUUCGGGUGGUGUGGUUAUAUAGAGAAAAAUAACCUAAUUUUUCAGGUUGAAAAAGUCCCUUUCCCUAAUUUUCUUCCUCUUGUUUUCAUUUGAUUUGUUUGGAGGGGCAAGGUGGCUGUUUAUGAAGUAUAUAUGUAGGAAAAUAAAUGGAUGCGCAACAAGAAAUGGAUGGGGAUUGGUACAUUGUCUAGGAAGAAAUGGAUGUCCAGCAAUAAAUGUCUCUGCUUUUUGUCUGAUCAGUGCUGGCCAUUGGUACGUUGCCCAGCAAAAAGUGGAUGGGGAUUGGGAAAUUUUGAUUUUUUGACAAAUGGUUAUGAAGUAUAUAUGGAAAGAAAGUGUGAAUUAAGGCUCUCCAUCACUUCGAAACGGUCUCACCUGUGUCUCUGUAAUUCGAUCAGUUUGUUUAAUCAGAUUCAUCUGGAGCUCUCUACAGAAGCUACAACCAACAAGUUAACAGAAACAACUUGGCCAAACCCAGUAGUUGCACAGCUGGACCUUGAACCCUCUAAGAAAAACCAAAUUUUUCCGGAGGCAUCAGAGAUGGUGGACCAAAAGGUUCAGUAGCUUGACCUUGAACCCUCUAAGAAAAACCAAAUUUUGCCGGAGACAUCAAAGAUGGUGGGACCAAAAGGUUCAGUAGCUUGACCUUGAACCCUCUAGGAAAAACCAAAUUUUGUCGGAGGCAUCAGAGAUGGUGGGACCAAAAGUUCUCAGUAGCAGUAGGUUCAUAUAGGCUGAUCAGAAAAUCCCUAAAAAUCUUGCAUUAAAAUCAACCAGAAGUCAAUGUAAUAUAAAUACAGUAAAAAAGCAUAGAGAAUAAUAGAAAAAAGCAAAAAAAAAA